AUUGAACGCUGGCGGCAUGCUUUACACAUGCAAGUCGAACGGCAGCGCGGGGGCAACCCUGGCGGCGAGUGGCGAACGGGUGAGUAAUGCAUCGGAACGUAUCCUGUAAUGGGGGAUAACGUAGCGAAAGUUACGCUAAUACCGCAUACGCUCGAGAGAGGAAAGUGGGGAUCGCAAGACCUCACGUUAUAGGAGCGGCCGAUGUCCGAUUAGCUAGUUGGUGGGGUAAAGGCCUACCAAGGCGACGAUCGGUAGCUGGUCUGAGAGGAUGAUCAGCCACACUGGGACUGAGACACGGCCCAGACUCCUACGGGAGGCAGCAGUGGGAAUUUUGGACAAUGGGCGAAAGCCUGAUCCAGCCAUGCCGCGUGCGGGAAGAAGGCCUUCGGUG
rnacentral:rRNA from 1 species